rnacentral:ncRNA from 1 species
GUGCGUCCGUCGUCAGCCUCUCUCUGUUGUUGCUGGACGGACGCGCGACACCAUCAAAUUGCGGGGACACCCUGAUAGCCUUGUCUACCAAGUCGCCUGCGGAAACGCACUGGCGAUGGCCGAGUUAAUCGCCCUGGGUACGGUAACAACGACAAGGAUGUGUGUGUUAUGGGCAAUCCGCAGCCAAGUCCUACGUCGAACCGCGCACGUUCGAUACGGAUGCUGUCCAUCGACUAAAUGGUGGUGGGUGAUCGCGCCACACGCGAUUGCUUAAGAUAUAGUCAGGCCCUGGUGAGAGCCAGCU